rnacentral:rRNA from 1 species
AGCGAACGUUAGCGGCGGGCCUAACACAUGCAAGUCGGACGAGAAAGCCUUCGGGUGAGUAAAGUGGCGCACGGGUGAGGAACGCGUAGGUAAUCUACCCUCUGGCGGGGGACAACACUCCGAAAGGAAUGCUAAUACCGCGUAAGACCCCACCUACUACGGUAGGAGAGGUUAAAGGUGCCUCUAAAGCACCACCAGAGGAUGAGCCUGCGUCCCAUCAGCUUGUUGGUAAGGUAACGGCUUACCAAGGCUAAGACGGGUAGCUGGUCUGAGAGGAUGAUCAGCCACACUGGCACUGGAACACGGGCCAGACUCCUACGGGAGGCAGCAGUGAGGAAUAUUGGGCAAUGGGCGCAAGCCUGACCCAGCCACGCCGCGUGAGUGAUGAAGGCCUUCGGGUCGUAAAGCUCUGUGGGGAGGGACGAACAUACGCAUGAGGAAAUGCUUGCGUACUGACGGUACCUCCUUAGCAAGCACCGGCUAACUCUGUGCCAGCCGCCGCCGUAACAC